rnacentral:lncRNA from 1 species
ACAGCGAGCUGAACUUUGAAGAAGAAGAAGAAGCUAUUUUUAGCUUCAUUCCAUACCAAUUUCUUGUGGCAGCAGGUUUCAAGAAGCUUCACGUGAAUCUAUUUUUUAAAAAAUAAAUGUUUGACAUAAAACAAUUUCAAACAACUCAUAAAACCUACUGAAAAAACCAUGCCAAACAAGACCUAAAUCAGCGGCCCUGUUAAGCACAUGUUUGUUUGGUGAAGCUCAACUCCUUCGUGCAAUUAGGAGACGUUAACAAUAUCUUUUUUCCCCAUUAGAAGCCUCUCCGUACGCUAAAUGUUUGCUUAGCAGAAAGGCUAUAACUUAAAGAUUGUUUACUGAUUUAUUAUGAAAGAAAAACAAUGCUAAAUAACUCAUAAAUUCAGUAGAUAAAUUCAAGCGAACAUGCUCGCUGUAGUAAAAAGCUGGAGCUAAACAAAACCGUGUCACAUAGUGCCUGUUUGGUGAAGUUUUGGUCAGUUCUGACUUGAGUUCUUUUUGCGCACUACAGUAAAGUGAUAUUUUGUCUCUAUUACCAUUAAAAUAAAUUAGAAACUGAUAAUGCAACAGUUUAGGCCUUGUUUAGUUGUAAAAAGUUUUUGGAUUUUGACACUGUAGCACUUUUAUUUGUUUGUGACAAAUAUUGUCUAAUCAUAGACUAAUUAGAAUCAAAAGAUUCGUCUCGCGAUUUACAGGCAAACUGUUUAUUUAGUUUUUAUUUUCGUCUAUAUUUAGUGUUUCAUGCAUGUGCCGCAAGAUUCGAUAUGACAGAGAAUCUUGAAAUCUUUUUAGUUUUUGGAGUGAACUAGACAAGGCCUUAUUUUUUUUUCCUUCACUGGUUCCUCCGUGGACUGGCGUCAUUUUAGCAGCACUGCACCAGUGAUGAACCGGAUCGUCCUGGAUGUACACACAGUGGUCUGCGUCAGUGCACUGCCGGCCCAGAGAAGGUAUAGUUCUACUCAUUUUAUAUGGGCUGAAGUGAUACUUUUGGCCCACAAAAUGUCCAAUGGGCUGUCGCCCGGAUGCCAACUUCGAAGGCCCGAAGAGUCAAGUUUCCCUCUUACCUGGUACAAAAAGAAAAAGAGAAAAAAAGAGAGGCGGAAACACACCGUAAUUCGUGGUAAUUAAUCUGCAUGGUAAGGGAAAGUGCCUCUGAUUACAAAAAAAAUUACGUCUUGAUUGAAGACCAUGAAACAUGUUUCAUAUUUAAAAAUAACCCGGACUAUCAACAAAGGAGCAAUGUUUCGUUUUCUACACGACAAUACGUAAAAGGAACGCAAUAAAAGCCAUUCCACAUUCCCCAGUCCCCCACCUAGGGCGCCAAACCAGAGACGGCGGGCAAGGAAAAAAAGAAAACCCUCCCAAUCAUGAGCCGUCCGCGCCCGAUCCGACGGCCACGGACCCUCCCAGGGC